UACGUAGGGGGCUAGCGUUGUCCGGAAUUAUUGGGCGUAAAGAGCGUGUAGGCGGCGCGAUAAGUCUGCUGUGAAAGUCGAGGGCUCAACCCCUCGAAUGCCGGCGGAUACUGUCGCGCUAGAGUCCGGAAGAGGCGAGUGGAACUCCUGGUGUAGCGGUGAAAUGCGCAGAUAUCGGGAGGAACACCAGUGGCGAAGGCGACUUCCUGGCCUGUUCUUGACGCUGAGGCGCGAAAGCUAGGGGAGCAAACGGG
rnacentral:rRNA from 1 species